rnacentral:rRNA from 1 species
UACGGAGGGGGCUAGCGUUGUUCGGAAUUAUUGGGCGUAAAGGGCGCGUAGGCGGCCGUGUAAGUCUGAUGUGAAAUCCCUCGGCUCAACCGGGGAACUGCAUUUGAAACUGUUCGGCUCGAGUCCGGGAGAGGGUAGUGGAAUUCCCAGUGUAGCGGUGAAAUGCGUAGAUAUUGGGAGGAACACCGGUGGCGAAGGCGGCUACCUGGACCGGUACUGACGCUGAGGCGCGAAAGCGUGGGGAGCGAACAGG